GUGAAUCAUCAAAUUUUUGAACGCAAAUUGCACUCUCUGGUAUUCCGGAGAGUAUGCCUGUUUGAGGGUAAGUUUAAAUAAAAAUCGGUGUGGUUGCCGCCUUUCGUGGUGACGAACCGGAUGUGGGUCGUCUUGCCUUCGGUUAAGUGACCUAAAAUUUUGCAUGAUUUUUUAGAACGUAUUCACAUGAUUUUACCAACGUUUGCGAUAUCGAAUACUAGGUGCGGUC
rnacentral:misc_RNA from 1 species